AUGAGGUCUAUAUUCUUUUUUCUUGUUUCAGGCAUUUGCCUGCGACCAUGCUGGGGCAUCACCUUUAGUCGAAGAUAUCGACCGUGUGACCUAUUCUUUGGCUUGUUGAUAAAAUCAAUGGCGUAGCGAUUGGAAAAAUAAAUAAUACCCGAAGUUUAAAGACAUCAUGCACAGGAGACAUCCGAGGAGUGUACAGAGCAGUACUUAAAUGAGAAUUUUUCCUCCAUACUGCAAACGACAAAUAAUGCUGACACAAAGUACUGUUGUCAAAGCAGGUUUAAUGUCCAGUCAACCGUGCCAAUUCACUAGAUUCAAAACAGCGUCGCCCAUUCAUCUCAGCCGGAAACAAUACUGCACGAACUCCUUGGUAACCCAAAGUAACACUUAAAAAUAACUGUUUAUCUUCUCAAGGAUUUCCACUACCGAGUUACAAUUUGUACAAUGUCGACCAAACAAUUUUGUCAGUAUACUAAG